CAAAUUAUAGUUUUUUAAACAUUUUAUUUACAUUAAAAAGAAAAUUAUUAAGUUAAUUUAAUUUGAAG
rnacentral:tRNA from 1 species